rnacentral:rRNA from 1 species
GACGAACGCUGGCGGCGUGCCUAACACAUGCAAGUUGAGCGACGAACCAGGGCUUGCCCUGGGGCAAAGCAGCGAACGGGUGAGUAACACGUGGGUAACCUACCCCGAUAACCGGGACAACCCGAGGAAACUCGGGCUAAUACCGGAUGUGCUCACUGGACUUCGGUUCAGUGCGUAAAGGAAGCUUCGGCCUCCGUAUCGGGAGGGGCCCGCGGCCCAUUAGUUUGUUGGUGAGGUAACGGCUCACCAAGACCGCGAUGGGUAGCUGGUCUGAGAGGACGAUCAGCCACACUGGGACUGAGACACGGCCCAGACUCCUACGGGAGGCAGCAGUGGGGAAGCUUGCGCAAUGCGCGAAAGCGUGACGCAGCAACGCCGCGUGGGGGAAGAAGGCCUUCGGGUUGUAAACCCCGUUCAGGAGGGACGAAGGUUCGGCGGUGAAUAGCCGUCCGGACUGACGGUACCUCCACAAGAAGCCCCGGCUAACUACGUGC